CUUGGUCAUUUAGAGGAAGUAAAAGUCGUAACAAGGUCUCCGUUGGUGAACCAGCGGAGGGAUCAUUAAAGAGUUGCAAAACUCCCAACCAUUGCUAAACAACCACUGUUUCUUCGGCGGGUGGCCGCAUGGCCGCGCGCACCCCUCUCGGGGGGGACGCACCCCGCCGGAGCACACCAAACUCUUGUCAUUAUUGAUGCUCUGAGUAAAAAACAAAAUUAUUACAACUUUCAACAAUGGAUCUCUUGGCUCUGGCAUCGAUGAAGAACGCAGCGAAAUGCGAUACGUAAUGUGAAUUGCAGAAUCCAGUGAAUCAUCGAAUCUUUGAACGCACAUUGCGCCCGCCAGUAUUCUGGCGGGCAUGCCUGUCCGAGCGUCAUUUCAACCAUCAAGCCUAGUGCUUGUGUUGGGGCCCCGCGGCUGCCGCGGGCCCUGAAAACCAGUGGCGGGCUCAAAGUCGAACCGAGUGCAGUAAAUUUCUUCGCUUGGGAAGGUGACGAGUUCCGGCCGUAAAAAGCCCAACUUUAUCAAGGUUGACCUCGGAUCAGGUAGGACUACCCGCUGAACUUAAGCAUAUCAAUAAGCGGAGGA
rnacentral:rRNA from 1 species